rnacentral:lncRNA from 1 species
CCUGAGGCCGAGCCACCCCUCUGUAACCUCCAUAAUCCAUCAGGUCUCAGAGGGCCGUCUUAUGUUCAGUAAGCCAAUGCUAGCACCAUGUGACGAGGACACAGCAGUGAGCAGCUGCCCAGGCCCCUUGCACUGUGUUUAGAAAAGGAAGCUGGCUUGUUCAGGGGUCCCCAGCAGGAUGGGGGGCGGGGGCAGGGACCAUGGCAGAGCGAGAGUUCUAGGAGAGAAGCUGGUCCACCCACAGGCUCCCUGGCCUGGGUGCUGUACCAGGCAGGGUGCUGGGCGUUGUGCUGCUCACUUCCCACCCCUCGGUUGCACCUGGGGGCUGUGUGGCCUUCCCAGUCCUGUUGUGGGUGCUGUGAUUGUGCCCACCUUACAGAUGGGAAAACUGAUGCUCAGAGGCUUGAGCAACCUAGGCCAGGACCUGUCCUUAGAGGCAGAAGCAGGACUCAGAGGAAGAGCACCCUGACCACAAAGCCCCAGGUGACUUACACUGCAGGGAUGGCACUCUCCGGGGUGUGCAGGGUGGCAGAGGUGCCUCUGCAGAGAGAUCCCUGCCUGGGACCCUUUCCUGGGGCUCUUCUGGUGCUGGGAGUGUGAGCACCACGAAAGCCCCACUACAGUCAUGCCACCCAGAGGGCGCUCUGGCCUCUUGGUCACCCGUGUCCUUCUGACAAUGACCAACACACUUUUUUGCCAGGGUCCAGAAAGACUCAGCCACUGGAGUCUGUAUUUCCUGAGUCCGCCUCUCACUGCUGGAGCUGUUUAUCAUCGCUCCAACUUUCACUAAAAAGGAAAAACUAUCACUUAACAAAGCCAUUGAAAC